AGUAGCAUGCACUGUUUUCUUCGGCAAGCUGUUCCUUUUUUCUUUUCUCUUCUUUAUUGUUUGCACUGGUUAGAUUGUUAUUAAUGAUGGCUGGGUAAGUUAUGAGGUUCGACCUGGACUGCAUGGGAAGAUCAGGAAACAGAUCUUCAUACUAGGCAUAAUUGGCAGUUGGGUUUUUUAUUUCUUCUGUUCGUUUUUUUUUUUUUUUUGGUUCCUUUCCUUAUUAAGACAACAUUAAUUAUUCGUUGAUGAAUAUGGCUAGCUUAGUUUUUGCAUCUGCAUAGGAAGUAGUGUUUGUGUGUUUCUUAAAACUGGUAAUCCUCCCUUAUGACGGAGGAAUAUCUUAUACAAAGGGAGCAUGGAUUACAACCAAAAUCCUAAAACCAAGCUCCUAAAGUUACUGACGAAAGUUAGGAGCACCUACAUGAUUAAGAGAAAACAGACAAAACAUAUGUUGAACAUCUCUAUCCAUUAAUUAAUGUAUUGGAAUUGGAUUUGGUAACAAGCUUUUCUCAUUCACUAACCCCUAAUCAGACAAUUCCCCAGUGUGAACAUCUAGUUUGAUUGCUUGAUUAGCCAUGCUUGAGCAAUCUUAAUGAGACAUUUGAAAACGCGAAAUAGAUGCUGUGUUGCUGUGGCAAUUUAUUAAGGAAUGUAGUCUCGAACAAGUGCUAUUACUCUAGUGGCAUGUGUGAUGUUUGGGAGGCCAACAACUAGUUUGUAAAUGUAAUGGGUUCCCUGAUCUUGAUUAGUAAUGUGCGAGUGAGAUACUGUGAGUCAGGUGAAUUUGGAUCUUGCUAAUUAAUAAGUUCAGUACAAGAUCCCAAAAAACUCAAGGAAGGGUGGUUGUAUGAUAAACACCAUAAUUUGUUGAAUAAAGCGUGAUUAUUUUGUCUUGUUGCAAUUCAAAUGUCCCGCUAACAUUUACAAUACUUUUGGUUGUGAAGUGAAAUGAGUGAAGUUCUUAUGAAUAUUCAAAGAGGAUAGGAAAAGGAUAGCUCUCUCUAUUAAUCAAUUCAUUUUACGAUAUUUUCAGAGUGAUGAGUGCUACACCCACAAAAAGAUUUUAUAAAAGAAAAUUCAGAAACUGUUCACAUGACUUUGUGUGAUGUGAUCAGUUAGAUCUACUUCAUAAUAAAAGUAAUUUUACAAUCUGACGUACCACAUUAAGUCACAUCUGUUUAUGAUUUUACUUUUGUGAAAUUUCUUUGUGGCCAAAGCAUUUCCCUUUCGGAGUUCAACCUUAUCAAAAUGGAAAUUUAAUGCUGCAAGUCUUCAGCAAAAUCAAAUGCCUUUUGGGGGUUCUCAAUUCACAUUUGAAGUUCUGAUUCUCCUCUUUUUUCUUUGGCAUACAAUUAUAUUUGAUAACACACCAUCACCGGGAUACUUAUCUAUUGAGUUUCACACUCCUUACUUAUUGAUCAAAUU